rnacentral:rRNA from 1 species
UCCGUAGGUGGAUAAUUAAGUCAGAGGUGAAAUCCUGCAGCUCAACUGUAGAAUUGCCUUUGAUACUGGUUAUCUUGAGUUAUUAUGAAGUAGUUAGAAUAUGUAGUGUAGCGGUGAAAUGCAUAGAUAUUACACAGAAUACCGAUUGCGAAGGCAGAUCACUAAUAAUGUACUGACACUGAUGGACGAAAGCGUGGGGAGCGAACAGGAUUAGAUACCCUGGUAGUCC